rnacentral:rRNA from 1 species
GUUAGGAAUAUUGGACAAUGGGCGCAAGCCUGAUCCAGCCAUGCCGCGUGAACGAUGAAGGCCUUCGGGUUGUAAAGUUCUUUAGCCGAUGAUUAUAAUGACUGUAGUCGGAAAAUAAGCCCCGGCUAACUUCGUGCCAGCAGCCGCGGUAAUACGAAGGGGGCGAGCGUUAUUCGGAAUCACUGGGCGUAAAGCGUGCGUAGGCGGUCUCGUAAGUUAGGAGUGAAAGCCCAGGGCUCAACCUUGGAAUUGCUCUUAAUACUGCAAGGCUAGAAUCUCGGAGAGGAUAGCGGAAUUUCCAGUGUAGCAGUGAAAUGCGUAGAUAUUGGAAGGAACACCAGUGGCGUAAGCGGCUAUCUGGACCGAUAUUGACGCUGAGGCACGAAAGCGUGGGGAGCAAACAGGAUUAGAAACCCUGGUAGUCC